rnacentral:rRNA from 1 species
GACGAACGCUGGCGGCGCGCCUAACACAUGCAAGUCGAACGAGCGAGAGAGAGCUUGCUUUCUUGAGCGAGUGGCGAACGGGUGAGUAACGCGUGAGGAACCUGCCUCAAAGAGGGGGACAACAGUUGGAAACGACUGCUAAUACCGCAUAAGCCCACGACCCGGCAUCGGGUUGAGGGAAAAGGAGCAAUCCGCUUUGAGAUGGCCUCGCGUCCGAUUAGCUAGUUGGUGAGGUAACGGCCCACCAAGGCGACGAUCGGUAGCCGGACUGAGAGGUUGAACGGCCACAUUGGGAAUGAGACACGGCCCAGACUCCUACGGGAGGCAGCAGUGGGGAAUAUUGCACAAUGGGGGAAAACCUGAUGCAGCGACGCCGCGUGGAGGAAGAAGGUCUUCGGAUUGUAAACUCCUGUUGUUGAGGAAGAUAAUGACGGUACUCAACAAGGAAGUGACGGCUAACUACGUG